UACGGAGGGUGCAAGCGUUAUCCGGAUUCACUGGGUUUAAAGGGUGCGUAGGUGGAUUUAUAAGUCAGUGGUGAAAGCCCCGAGCUCAACUUGGGAAUUGCCAUUGAUACUGUAGAUCUUGAGUGCGGUUGAGGUAGGCGGAAUGUUACAUGUAGCGGUGAAAUGCUUAGAUAUGUAACAGAACACCAAUUGGGAAGGCAGCUUACCAAGCCGAUACUGACACUGAUGCACGAAAGCGUGGGGAUCAAACAGG
rnacentral:rRNA from 1 species